GCUAGCUUGCGGGGACUCCCCGGGGUGGCCCCGCCGCGUACAAAUACUGCCCCCCGGCGCGCCUAUUCUUAGCACGGUUCGAGCGAAACAUGGAGUGGCUGCAUGCUCACGGUCGCCGAGAGCCGGAGAUAUGAAUAGCAGAAUACAGGUCACAGGUGCCAUGGCCAAAUUAAUCAAUGACUCAUUGCAUCCUUGCUUUUGCCAUGGAAAUAAAGGAAUUGAUUGAGGACGUAAAAUUUACCUGUUCUUGCGUUGCCAGAUUGGCACUGCUCAAACGUGUCAUGCAGGCAUGCGGUAGUGAAACGAC
rnacentral:lncRNA from 1 species